rnacentral:rRNA from 1 species
CCCUUAGAUGUUCUGGGCCGCACGCGCGCUACACUGAUGCAUUCAACGAGCACCCGCUGGGCCGAGAGGUCCGGCUAAUCUUUGAACGUGCAUCGUGCUGGGGAUAGAUGAUUGCAAUUAUUCAUCUUCAACGAGGAAUUCCUAGUAAACGCAAGUCAUCAGCUUGCAUUGAUUACGUCCCUGCCCUUUGUACACACCGCCCGUCGCACCUACCGAUUGAAUGGUCCGGUGAAAUUCUCGGACGCGGACUUGCGAUGUUAAUUCGGAGCUUGACUGUGAAAGUUAAUUAAACCAUAUCAUUUAGAGGAAGGUGAAGUCGUAACA